GCCAGGUGUGGUGGCGCGCACCUGUAAUCCCAGCAACUCGGGAGGCUGAGACAGGAGAAUCGCUUGAACCCAGGAGGCGGAGGUUGCAGUGAGCUGGGAUUGCUCCACUGCACUCCAGCCUGGGCGACAGAGCGCGACUCUGUCUCAA
ensembl:misc_RNA Metazoa_SRP Metazoan signal recognition particle RNA